rnacentral:lncRNA from 12 species
CCCCCCCGGCACUGCCCUCCCGCCGGGCCGGCCGGGCACCGGCCGUGCGCCGCCACUCACCGCGGCUGUGCCUGCGCCGCUCUCCCGCGGCGCGCUGCGAGAGCUGCCGUCCCUUCCUCUCGCUGCCCUUUGCUCUCGGUGGUCCCUGUGCUCUCCUGCGUCCCUGGACGCCCGUCCAUCCCCUCAGCAGGGAUCACCGGCAGCAUGGAGAUCUCCUCGAGAGCAUCCUUGCCCAUCUCCAGGAGCAGGACUUGGCUAAACACGCUUACACUCCAGUGCCGUGCAUCUGCUGGCAGCUGCCGGGGGAGCGUAACCGCGGGAUCCUCCAAGCAGUUUUCCUUGUGCAAACCUUUAAAGAGAAAUCACACAGAGCUGGUGGUGAUGGAAAAAUCCACUUUGAACAGUCCUGGCCUGCAAAAACUGUUUCUUCUAAGGCUUUGAGUAACUGAAAGGUUGAAGACAACGCAUUUUUGCAAGCUGAAUUUUCAUCUUCAUCUUGGGUUACACCCCAGAAA